AGUGAAGUGAUGGGGUGAGGCAUUCAAAAUCAAGUGAUCUGACUCUCUCUCAUCUUGUGUGCUCACACGAACUUACGCCCCCGAAUGCCUCACCUUAAAUAAAUAUGCCCAAAAUUUCGUGCGUUUCGUUUUCGGUUUCUGUGCGGUUUCGGUACGGUUUCCGUCGUCGUAGCGUCGUGCGGUGUCUCUCUUCGAAUCGUCAGAAACUCAUGUGCAGAGCAAAGCAAGGAAAAAGUAACGGGACAAUCGGCAAAAUCCUGAAAAGCCAUUUUGAUGAUUGGGAAUUCCUUUGAUGACCAACCCAAGCAAAUCUAUUAAACAACGCAGCAAAAAAAAAAAACUAGCGUUCAACGAUGUUUGCCGACUGAAAAGUAUUUAAAUAUAUGGACUAAG